rnacentral:rRNA from 1 species
UAAAAGCUCGUAGUCGAAUUUGUGUCUCGCGCCGUCCGGUUCAUCGUUCGCGGUGUCAACUGGCGUGUCGCGAGACGUCCUGCCGGCGGGUCGUUCGCAAGAGCGGCCCAAUUGACCCCGCCGCGGUGCUCUUCAUUGAGUGUCGAGGUGGGCCGGCACGUUUACUUUGAACAAACUAAGGUGCUUAAAGCAGGCUGAAAUUUUGCCAGAAUAUUUUAUGCAUGGAAUAAUGAAACAGGACCUCGAUUCUAUUUUGUUGGUUUUCGGAACCUCGAGGUAAUGAUUAACAGGAACGGAUGGGGGCAUUCGUAUUGCGACGUUAGAGGUGAAAUUCUUGGAUCGUCGCAAGACGGACAGAAGCGAAAGCAUUUGCCAAAAACGUUUUCAUUGAUCAAGAACGAAAGUUAGAGGUUCGAAGGCGAUCAGAUACCGCCCUAGUUCUAACCAUAAACUAUGCCAGCUAGCGAUCCGCCGACGUUCCUCCGAUGACUCGGCGGGCAGCUUCCGGGAAACCAAAGCUUUUGGGUUCCGGGGGAAGUAUGGUUGCAAAGCUGAAACUUAAAGGAAUUGACGGAAGGGCACCACCAGGAGUGGAGCCUGCGGCUUAAUUUGACUCAACACGGGAAACCUCACCAGGCCCGGACACCGGAAGGAUUGACAGAUUGAGAGCUCUUUCUUGAUUCGGUGGGUGGUGGUGCAUGGCCGUUCUUAGUUGGUGGAGCGAUUUGUCUGGUUAAU